AAUUAAAACCAAACGACCCCUAAUCCUUAUUCUUCAGUUGAAGGGUUUCAAAACCUUAAUAGCUGCCUACCCUUUCUCUCUCUUCGCCUUUGCCCAACAUGGCAUGGUAGUACAAUGGUUCAUUUAAAUAGGGUAGAACAUUAAUUGUUCUACCCUCUCUCCUCCCAAAUACCACCAUUACAACACUCAAAGACGUGAGGUUGCCUUUCUUUGUGCUUUAUCUGUGUUUCUUUAAUUACUUUUGUCAUGUUUUGAUUUCGAUUACUCGGUUAUGGUUGGUUGAUUGAGAAAUGGAAGGGUUUUCCCCCCAAAAACUCUCAAUCCCACAUCGGUUGAAGUCUCAAACCCUAGAAUUUGGGGGUUCUAUAUAAAGAACCCCAAGUCCUUCCAUUUGACACACACAUCAACAUACAUACUUGUAUAAUCUCAGGAAGAACUUAAUUUGGGUUUUACACUGCUUUAUACAUGUACACUUAGGGUUUGAUUCGCUCAAUACCCUUUUUAGUUUAAAAUUUGGCUUGUUUUACUAAAAAUCUUGGUAUUUUCAUUUGUGGUUCGUGGCUGUGAUGUGUGGAAGAGAAGAAGGUCCCAUAUACUCCUUUCUUGACUAGGCUGGCACUACAAAGGGUGAUUUACAAGUUCAAGGAGGUAAUAGCAACAUUGGAUAUUGAAUCGAGGAAGAAGAAAUUGCGAAAUUGGAGCAAUUAAGAGUAGAAAUUCCUCCGAGAAAAUUAAGGCUAAAAGAGCGACAAAGCGAGCGGUUUUGCGAUUAGUCGUCAACAGGUACAGAUAGUCGAUUUGGCGACCCUUCAGCAUAGGACUUCUACUCAGCUGUUUUGGAGAGCUCCGUUGUUUCGGAGUCUAGACCUUUGGUUCAGGUCUUAUGACGUAUAUGUAUAUGUUUAUUCAGGGGUACGGCGGGGCCCUGUCCCGUCAUAUUUCGCUAUCGAUACUCUUAGAGGUCUGUAAACAUAUGUGUGGGUUGUGUAUGAGUUCUGUUCAGCUGUGUCUAUACGAUGUGUUGUGGUAUGAUGUUCGUUUAUAGUGGUAGCCUUGUCGGCUUGCAUAUGAUAUUGAUAUGUGAUGGCAGCCUUGUCGGCUUGCGUAUUAUUUCAUGAUAUGAUUAGUUGUGACUCCUCAAGAGACAGUUGAUUUGGAAAUAUAUAUAUAUAUAUAUAUAUAUAUAUAUAAAUAUGACGAUGUUACGAACUUUGGAGA